UCUUCUGCGACAAACCAGAGCUCUUCCUCUCUCUAUUCUCCUCUUGGUUUUCCUGAUGCAACAGAGCUCUAUCAAUUGCAUCGUUUCUUUUCUACCUUCCGUUCUCCGCCUCUCUUCCUCUAUCUAUUUUCCUCUCGAAUCCCGACAAAAUAGGAUUAGACAUUCUUGGUAACAUCCAUGUUUUAUAAACCCUGAAGGUUUUCUUUCUGUUCUUCUGUUUCUCUGAGCCCAUAUUUGGUUUUGCAGGUACAAUCAAUCAAUCAAAAUGUUGUAUGUUGGACCGGAUUGGGAAGCAUAACAAGCUGCAUGAAGUUCUGUUGAGACAUUACCAUUGUUUUCCUAUACAUCCAACAUGGAUUCUUGGUUUCGAUUCUGCCGAUUCAAUAUUAUUGAUAGUUGUCACUUUUGUAGGGUUUAGUUAGUGUUCGGUUUAAAAGAAAAGUUGUGUCUAAGAAAAACACCUUAGCCCAUAUUUGGUUUUGCAGGUAAAAUGGAGGAUGAAGGUUGAGCUGGAAUAAAAAAAAAAGUAGCAGUGGCUUCCCGAUUAGUGGAAUGCAGAUAGAAGCAAUAUCAAUUUAGAUGCUGAGAAUUAUUUCGAUUCUUAGGUUGGUUUCGGCCUUGAUUUGAUUGGAAAAAGGGUUUUAAAGUAAUGGCUGUAGAGCACCAUGACAGCUUAAUUUUUCUUGGUCUCCUUCUUCGGAUUAUUGAAGCAUGUAUUGUGUCGUGAAAUUGGAGUAGAUUGGCGAAGGCACAAAUGGGUAAAGAACAUGUAGAUACUAAACAAGAUGGCGGAUAACGGAGGCAAUCAUUUCUACAAGCAAGAUACACUAUUAACAAAUAAAGUGUGUAAAGCUGAGCUGCAUCCACCUUAUACGUAUCUGAAGCAACGAAUCCGAGUUUGUAGCCAUUCAUGGAUGAUUUAUUUGUAUAUGAACUCACAAAACUUUAUUUGUCAGUCUACUAAGAAGAAACAAUACCAAGGAAGACAUGCCAAUAGACUCUUACUGUAUGUAUCUAAAGUCUUAUCUAAGUAGCGAUUUAUGUAUCAUCAUCGUUUUUUUCUCAUCACAAAUGAAAAUAUGUGAAUUUACUGUUAAUAUGGACUUAAUUCCUACUGAGUGUACAGACUCACGAAUGGGAAUGGUAAUUUAUUCUUAAAAGUAUUUGUGUAAUUUCCAAGGCAGAGGCUAAGCACAAAAGGAAUGGUUAUUUUUCUGGUAACUCCUAACUCUUUUCUGUUUCUUUACAUUUCCAAUCUACUCCAAUUAGGAAAGUUAACAAUAACCAAAUCCAAUUAUGUUUUGGUAAACCCUAACUCUUUUCUGUUUCUUUAUUUUCUGAAUCAAUGAGACAGACGCUUUUAAGAAUUAAUGAGUUUAUCUUACCUCCAAGUCCUAAUUCUCUUAUGUGCAAAGUGCAAACCCUAUUUUGCGGCAUCCUUUCCUAUCCACCUUUCUUCUGUUUCCUAAUGAUUUCUUUUUCGUAUUCGUUAAUACAAGGAAACAGGCAAAGAGAAUCAAAGAUGUUGUAUAAAGGUUUCAGUUAGCUUAGAUUUUUCUUUGUUCU